rnacentral:rRNA from 1 species
UACGAAGGGGGGCUAGCGUUGCUCGGAAUCACUGGGCGUAAAGCGCACGUAGGCGGAUCUUUAAGUCAGGGGUGAAAUCCUGGAGCUCAACUCCAGAACUGCCUUUGAUACUGGGGAUCUCGAGUCCGGAAGAGGUGAGUGGAACUCCGAGUGUAGAGGUGAAAUUCGUAGAUAUUCGGAAGAACACCAGUGGCGAAGGCGGCUCACUGGUCCGGUACUGACGCUGAGGAGCGAAAGCGUGGGGAGCAG